rnacentral:rRNA from 1 species
UACGGGGGGGGCAAGCGUUGUUCGGAAUUACUGGGCGUAAAGGGCUCGUAGGCGGCCAACUAAGUCAGACGUGAAAUCCCUAGGCUCAACCUAGGAACUGCGUCUGAUACUGGAUGGCUUGAAUCCGGGAGAGGGAUGCAGAAUUCCAGGUGUAGCGGUGAAAUGCGUAGAUAUCUGGAGGAAUACCGGUGGCGAAGGCGGCAUCCUGGACCGGCAUUGACGCUGAGGAGCGAAAGCCAGGG